rnacentral:rRNA from 1 species
AGCGAACGCUGGCGGCAGGCCUAACACAUGCAAGUCGAACGGAUCCUUCGGGAUUAGUGGCGGACGGGUGAGUAACACGUGGGAACGUGCCCUUUGGUUCGGAACAACUCAGGGAAACUUGAGCUAAUACCGGAUGUGCCCUUCGGGGGAAAGAUUUAUCGCCAUUGGAGCGGCCCGCGUCUGAUUAGCUAGUUGGUGAGGUAAAGGCUCACCAAGGCGACGAUCAGUAGCUGGUCUGAGAGGAUGAUCAGCCACAUUGGAACUGAGACACGGCCCAAACUCCUACGGGAGGCAGCAGUGGGGAAUCUUGCGCAAUGGGCGAAAGCCUGACGCAGCCAUGCCGCGUGAAUGAUGAAGGUCUUAGGAUUGUAAAAUUCUUUCACCGGGGACGAUAAUGACGGUACCCGGAGAAGAAGCCCCGGCUAACUUCGUGCCAGCCGCCGCAGUAAUAC